rnacentral:rRNA from 1 species
AUUGAACGCUGGCGGCAUGCCUUACACAUGCAAGUCGAACGGCAGCACGGGAGCAAUCCUGGUGGCGAGUGGCGAACGGGUGAGUAAUAUAUCGGAACGUGCCCAGUCGUGGGGGAUAACGCAGCGAAAGCUGUGCUAAUACCGCAUACGAUCUACGGAUGAAAGCGGGGGAUCGCAAGACCUCGCGCGAUUGGAGCGGCCGAUAUCAGAUUAGCUAGUUGGGGGGGUAAAGGCCUACCAAGGCGACGAUCUGUAGCUGGUCUGAGAGGACGACCAGCCACACUGGAACUGAGACACGGUCCAGACUCCUACGGGAGGCAGCAGUGGGGAAUUUUGGACAAUGGGCGCAAGCCUGAGCCAGCAAUGCCGCGUGCAGGAUGAAGGCCUUCGGGUUGUAAACUGCUUUUGUACGGAACGAAACGGUGAGCUCUAAUACAGUUUGCUAAUGACGGUACCGUAAGAAUAAGCACCGGCUAACUACGUGCCAGCCGCCGCCGUAA